ACGGCGCCGAGGCCGGACGUCCUGCCCCGCGCCCGACCAGAGCCCGAGCCCCGCCGGUGCCGCGGUCUGCCCGAGCUGAAGGAGCUUAUCAAAUGAUGUAAGGAAGAUGGAUACCACGUUUCUUAUUCAGUCCAUCCUAAGGACUUAUAAGUUUCCUGAGGAGAUCAUGGACAUCAUUUUGUGUCAGAAGGAACAGCACGCUUAGAAGAGACAGACUCAUCCUCAUUGUCAUGGAGACGUUUUGUCGUAGUGGUUGGCUAAAAGAAAGAUGCAGCGGGAUGGCUACAUUAAUCAGGUAAGACAGAGCCUGACUGUUUUGUCUACUACAGAAUUACAGAUGUUGGAUAAAAUCUCCCUCCUGUAACUGAAACAGCAGCAUGACUAACGAGUGCUUCUCUCCAAUGAUCUAAUGGUAAGUGAUCCUUCUCAUGUAAGACACUGCCCUUAUUCCCUUUUCUGCCUCAGCUCCCGGUUUUAUCUCUGACUACUGUUUAAAAUAAUGCUAAUUAGCAUCUAGUGAUGAAUGUCACAAUACCACUUCUAAGCUUUCACUGUCAUGAGAAUUUUCCUUUGACUAUUAAACGUUCGUGACUCAAAUCCAUCAAAACAUACAUGUUCACAUAUUGAAUUUUAAAUGUAUGGAUAGGCCCUUAAAGCCUAAGAGGCUGUUUCUUUAUGUUCAAAGUGUCUUGCCAAAGCACAAAAGUAAACUUCUCUUAAGAAGGCAGGAAAGAAUUAGUAGACUGCUACAUAAAGGCAGAAUGUACACUUCUAUCCUAAAUUAUCAGGAUUACAUUUUCUUAUUAUGGUUUAAUUUUAAAUCUAGCUUAUGCACCAUUAAUCUUCUCACAGUCUGUCA